rnacentral:rRNA from 1 species
UCGAGAAUUUUUCACAAUGGGCGCAAGCCUGAUGGAGCGACGCCGCGUGGGGGAUGAAGGGCUUCGGCUCGUAAACCCCUGUCAUUUGCGAACAAACCUUGAAGGUAAAUAGCCUUUAAGCUGAUUGUAGCGAAAGAGGAAGGGACGGCUAACUCUGUGCCAGCAGCCGCGGUAAUACAGAGGUCCCGAGCGUUGUUCGGAUUCACUGGGCGUAAAGGGUGCGUAGGUGGUGGGGUAAGUCUCGUGUGAAAGCUCGCAGCUUAACUGCGAAAAGUCACGGGAUACUAUUCCGCUGGAGGCUUGGAGGGGGGACUGGAAUACUUGGUGUAGCAGUGAAAUGCGUAGAUAUCAAGUGGAACACCAGUGGCGAAGGCGAGUCCCUGGACAAGACCUGACACUGAGGCACGAAAGCCAGGGGAGCAAACAG